rnacentral:rRNA from 1 species
CCUACGGGCGGCAGCAGUGAGGAAUAUUGGUCAAUGGGCGCGAGCCUGAACCAGCCACGCAGCGUGAAGGAUGACUGCCCUACGGGUUUUAACCUCCUUUUAUAAAGGAAUACAGUGAGGCACGUGUGCCUUUUUGUAUGUACUUUAUGAAUAAGGAUCGGCUAACUCCGGGCCAGCAGCCGCGGUAAUACGGAGGAUCCGAGCGUUAUCCGGAUUUAUUGGGUGUAAAGGGAGCGUAGAUGGGUUGUUAAGUCAGUUGUGAAAGUUUGGGGCUCAACCGUAAAAUUGCACUUGAUACUGGCAGUCUUGAGUACAGGUGAGGUAGGCGGAAUUCGGGGUGUAGCGGUGAAAUGCUUAGAUAUCACGAAGAACUCCGAUUGCGAAGGCAGCUUACUAAACUGCCACUGACAUUGAGGCUCGAAAGUGUGGGUAGCAAACAGGAUUAGAUACCCGGGUAGUC